rnacentral:lncRNA from 1 species
CACUCCUGGACCUGGCCAGACUCACACAAAUAUAUUUACAAGAAAUUAAAUUCAUAUACUCUGAUGGUUCUUUCAUUGUCUGUCAAUGAGUUCCCGUGAUGCUGAGGUUUUGUUCAUGAAGUCUUUUCCUAUGCCAAUGUCUUCAAGAGUUCUACCAGCGGACGCUGUAGCAACGUUGCGAGUCGCAUGGAUCGCGCCGAAUCAGCCCACUGCAGACAGGCAGGUCUGUGAACGCAGUAGCAACGUCGCGAGUCGCGCGGAACAAGCCGAAUCAGCCCAAGCCCUGGCAGCAAUCUACUGGACACCCCCCACCACCACCACCACCGUACAGCCACCUGGUUCCACACUACAAAGACGCAAAGGGCACCGGACCACCAGACCACUGUACUGGGUAAGUUGGAGUCAUCUUCACCUCCCAUAAAGACUGGGACUAUCUUCAGGGGAAGGGCAGCUGGUGCCUGAAAUACAACUCUGCAGAGUUCAACCCUACAGGAGGACAGGGAGCUCAACUUGGGACUUGCAGCCAGAAAUCUGCCUG